GCUUUCGGCCACACCGGCCUGAGUACGCCUGAUCUCGUCCGAUCUCGGAAGCUAAGCAGGGUCGGGCCUGGUUAGUACUUGGAUGGGAGACCGCCUGGGAAUACCAGGUGCUGUAAGCU
ensembl:rRNA 5S_rRNA 5S ribosomal RNA